CCUACGGGAGGCAGCAGUCGAGAAUCAUUCACAAUGGGGGAAACCCUGAUGGUGCGACGCCGCGUGGGGGAAUGAAGGUCUUCGGAUUGUAAACCCCUGUCAUGUGGGAGCAAAUUAAAAAGAUAGUACCACAAGAGGAAGAGACGGCUAACUCUGGUCCAGCAGCCGCGGUAAUACAGAGGUCUCAAGCGUUGUUCGGACUCACUGGGCGUAAAGCGUGCGUAGGCUGUUUCGUAAGUCGUGUGUGAAAGGCGCGGGCUCAACCCGCGGACGGCACAUGAUACUGCGAGACUAGAGUAAGGGAGGGGGAACCGGAAUUCUCGGUGUAGCAGUGAAAUGCGUAGAUAUCGAGAGGAACACUAGUGGCGAAGGCGGGUUCCUGGACAUUAACUGACGCUGAGGCACGAAGGCCAGGGGAGCGAAAGGGAUUAGAUACCCCAGUAGUC
rnacentral:rRNA from 1 species